rnacentral:rRNA from 1 species
UACGUAGGGCGCAAGCGUUGUCCGGAAUUAUUGGGCGUAAAGAGCUCGUAGGCGGCUUGUCACGUCGGGUGUGAAAGCCCGGGGCUUAACCCCGGGUCUGCAUUCGAUACGGGCUAGCUAGAGUGUGGUAGGGGAGAUCGGAAUUCCUGGUGUAGCGGUGAAAUGCGCAGAUAUCAGGAGGAACACCGGUGGCGAAGGCGGAUCUCUGGGCCAUUACUGACGCUGAGGGACGAAAGCUAGGGGAGCGAAUGGG